CAAGUCGGACGUCCCGCAAGGGACGUGGCGCAAGGGUGAGUAAGGCGACGGUAACCAACCGAAGGGACGGGCAUAGUCAGGGGAAACCCUGGGUAAUUCCCGGCGACGUCGCGGCCUGGCAUCGGGCUGCGACCAAAGGUGCGAUUCCGCCCUUUGACGGGCCGUCGUGGUAUCAGGUUGUUGGUGGGGUGACGGCCCACCAAGCCGAGGACGCCUACCGGGCGUGCGAGCGUGGCCCGGCACACUGGGACUGAGACACUGCCCAGACUCCUACGGGAGGCUGCAGUCGAGAAUCUUCGGCAAUGGGCGCAAGCCUGACCGAGCGACGCCGCGUGGAGGACUAAGGCCUUCGGGUUGUAAACUCCUGUCGAGGGGGAACAAGGGGGCGUGAAGAACGUCUCUUGAGUGAUCCCUGGAGGAAGCACGGGCUAAGUUCGUGCCAGCAGCCGCGGUAAGACGAACCGUGCGAACGUUAUUCGGAAUCACUGGGCUUAAAGCGCGUGUAGGCGGGCCGGCACGUCGAUGGCUGAAAUCCCCCGGCUCAACCGGGGAAGUGGCCUCGAUACGACCGGCCUGGAGGGGGGUAGGGGGCGCCGGAACUUCCGGUGGAGCGGUGAAAUGCGUUGAGAU
rnacentral:rRNA from 1 species